rnacentral:rRNA from 1 species
UACGUAGGGUGCGAGCGUUAAUCGGAAUUACUGGGCGUAAAGCGUGCGCAGGCGGUGAUGUAAGUCAGAUGUGAAAUCCCCGGGCUCAACCUGGGAACUGCAUUUGUGACUGCAUCGCUGGAGUGCGGCAGAGGGGGAUGGAAUUCCGCGUGUAGCAGUGAAAUGCGUAGAUAUGCGGAGGAACACCGAUGGCGAAGGCAAUCCCCUGGGCCUACACUGACGCUCAUGCACGAAAGCGUGGGGAGCAAACAGG